ACGACAAUCUUGUGCCAGCCACCGCGGUCACACAAGAAACCCAAAUUAACGGCCACACAGGCGUAAAGAGUGGAUACCAUGAUAUCAUUACAACUAAGAUUAAAAUGCAAUUGAGCUGUCAUAAGCCCAUAAUGCCCUUAAGGCCUACACAGAACUGAUCUUAGAGCCCAUUGACUAAUUAAGCUCCACGAAAGCUAAGGCCCAAACUGGGAUUAGAUACCCCACUAUGCUUAGCCCUAAAUCUUGAUGUUUACCCUACCAAAACAUCCGCCUGGGAACUACGAGCACAAACGCUUAAAACUCUAAGGACUUGGCGGUGCCCCAAACCCACCUAGAGGAGCCUGUUCUGUAAUCGAUAACCCACGAUAUACCCGACCACCUCUCGCCAGGGCAGCCUACAUACCGCCGUCGCCAGCUCACCUUUUCUGAGAGUGCAAUAGUGAGCACAAUAGCUUCAAUCCGCUAGUAAGACAGGUCAAGGUAUAGCCAAUGGGGUGGAAGUAAUGGGCUACAUUUUCUAGUUAUAGAAAAUCUCUACGAAAGAGUGUGUGAAAUCACACCCGGAAGGCGGAUUUAGCAGUAAAAUGGGAUAAUAAUGCCCGUUUUAAGUUGGCCCUGGGGCACGUACAUACCGCCCGUCACCCUCCUCACAAGCUACCAAUCCCAUAUCAUUAAUGCACUAGCAAGCUGAAGAUGAGGUAAGUCGUAACAAGGUAAGUGUACCGGAAGGUGCACUUAGCACAC
rnacentral:rRNA from 1 species